UUGUUUUUUUUUUGAAAAAAUGCACCGGUUCUUGUUUUCACUGUUUGUUCUUUUUUUUUAAUUUUAUUUUAUUUGUACCCCAUAGUGCCAUCCACUAGGGCUCGAAGGACCAUAAUUAAAUUAGGUAAUAAAGCAAUUUUGAUUUCAUUCACCGUUCGUACAAAGAAAGAAAGCGAAGUGAAGUGGCGGGUGCUCGAAUAGAGAGAUGUGGUCGUAACCGAAUCGAAUGCUAAAAAGCCAGCGGUAUCCUUCUUCUAGUCCCUUAUAUAUUGAUGUCCUCAUGGUGGUGUGAUCGUGGUUAAGUUGUAUUUGUGUGCGUGUUGGUGCAUGGUGUAGUGAUGUGGAAUGUAUGGUUGGCAACACCAAUGAAACUUCGACUGAAAAUAGCUGAAGCUCGAAAUACCAAACAAGAGUAAGGUGAAUCUGAAGCUGAAUUGCUUCAACCGUAAUUGGGGUAAAAUACACAAGUGACAGCUAUGAUUUUACAUUUUUGAUAAGCACUGUUUAGUGCUUUAUUUGGCACAUUGCUCAAAUAGCUCAAAUGCUCAGUUGAGCAAUAAUUCGUAACAUUAUACUUACAGAAAUGGAAAACAUUCAAAUUAAGAAUCCUUAUGUUUAGUAGACUUCGAUUCAUUUAAACGUUUGUCGUAAAAUUACAAUAAU